rnacentral:rRNA from 1 species
GACGAACGCUGGCGGCGUGCUUAACACAUGCAAGUCGAACGGUAAGGCCCUUCGGGGUACACGAGUGGCGAACGGGUGAGUAACACGUGGGUGAUCUGCCCUGCACUUCGGGAUAAGCCUGGGAAACUGGGUCUAAUACCGGAUAGGACUCCGGACUGCAUGGUCGGGGGUGGAAAGCUUUUGCGGUGUGGGGUGGGCCCGCGGCCUAUCAGCUUGUUGGUGGGGUGAUGGCCUACCAAGGCGACGACGGGUAGCCGGCCUGAGAGGGUGACCGGCCACACUGGGACUGAGAUACGGCCCAGACUCCUACGGGAGGCAGCAGUGGGGAAUAUUGCACAAUGGGCGCAAGCCUGAUGCAGCGACUCCGCGUGAGGGAUGACGGCCUUCGGGUUGUAAACCUCUUUCAGCAUCGACGAAGCGAAAGUGACGGUAGGUGCAGAAGAAGGACCGGCCAACUACGUGCCAGCCGCCGCAGUAA